rnacentral:tRNA from 1 species
GCCGCUAUCGUCUAGUGGUUUAGGACAUUAGCUUCUCAAGCUAGUAACCGGGGUUCGAGUCCCCGUAGCGGCG